rnacentral:rRNA from 1 species
AGAGUUUGAUCCUGGCUCAGAUUGAACGCUGGCGGCAUGCCUAACACAUGCAAGUCGAACGGAAACGAUGGGAGCUUGCUCCCAGGCGUCGAGUGGCGGACGGGUGAGUAAUACUUAGGAAUCUACCCAGUAGCGGGGGACAACUCGAGGAAACUCGAGCUAAUACCGCAUACGCCCUACGGGGGAAAGCGGAGGACUCUUCGGAGCUUCGCACUAUUGGAUGAGCCUAAGUCGGAUUAGCUUGUUGGUGAGGUAAAGGCUCACCAAGGCGACGAUCCGUAGCUGGUCUGAGAGGACGAUCAGCCACACUGGGACUGAGACACGGCCCAGACUCCUACGGGAGGCAGCAGUGGGGAAUAUUGGACAAUGGGGGAAACCCUGAUCCAGCAAUGCCGCGUGUGUGAAGAAGGCCUGCGGGUUGUAAAGCACUUUCAGUAGAGAAGAAAAGCCUAGGGAUAAUACCCCUGGGUCUUGACGUUACCUACAGAAGAAGCUCCGGCUAACUCCGUGCCAGCAGCCGCGGUAAUACGGAGGGAGCGAGCGUUAAUCGGAAUUACUGGGCGUAAAGCGCGCGUAGGCGGCUUUGUAAGUCGGAUGUGAAAGCCCUGGGCUCAACCUGGGAAUUGCAUUCGAUACUGCAUGGCUAGAGUAUGGAAGAGGGAAGUGGAAUUUCCCGUGUAGCCGGGGAAAUGCGUAAGA